rnacentral:rRNA from 1 species
CCCUUAGAUGUUCUGGGCCGCACACGCGCUACACUGAAGGAGGCAGCGUGUACUCCUGGAUCGAAAGAUUUGGGUAACCCGCGAAUCUCCUUCGUGCUAGGGAUUGAGGUUUGCAAUUAUCCUUCAUGAACGAGGAAUUCCCAGUAAGUGCAAGUCAUAAGCUUGCGCUGACUACGUCCCUGCCCUUUGUACACACCGCCCGUCGCUACUACCGAUUUCGAGUGGUCCGGUGAAGCUUUUGGACUGCGCGUGGCUUCGUGCCGUGUCGCGGAAAGUCAGCUAAACCUUAUCACUUAGAGGAAGUAAAAGUCGUAACA